GCUGGGGCCGGCUCUUUGGGCAGCCAUAGGUCUGACUGAGCCAUCCUGCGAAGUUCCCCUCUGGGGGAAGAGCUCAGGAGAGAGCAUCUUAAAUCCCGUUCCUCCUGUGUACGCUGUGUAACUUGCACGGCAGAAAUGGUCUGUUGGAAGGGGAGAUAGGACACCAGCUGGACAGAGGGAAGACCUCAUGCACGCCUGAGGAGCUGUGAACUGCAGAAAUAUGACAAAUGAUUUUAGAAGAAAAGUAUGAAGUUGGAGUGAAAGCUUAGUGAGAGUGAGGCAAGAGGAGGCGGUGCAUCUUUUGAAGCUCCCAUCUGAAGAGACGUGAGGGAAGCACCGCUCCUGGCCCACCCGCAGCCUACCAAGAAGGCCGCGGCCACUGAGGCGUUUUCGUGGGGUGAAUUGAAGCCCUCAGAGGAACGUGGGGGUGGGGCCGAGGCAGCGGCUGGGCAGCGGGCGUUUCCGUAGUGUAGUGGUUAUCACGUUCGCCUAAUACGCGAAAGGUCCCCGGUUCGAAACCAGGCGGAAACAUUGUUUUUUUCUAAAUGCUGGGAGAAUCACAAGUAUGUGUUAAAGAACAAGGAGGAUUCAAAGAGGAGCUGAGGUCAGCAGCGUGAGGGGUUGUCCCCAUCUCCAGAGGGGACCCACGAAGCUGGUCAGGGCUGGAGCGCCUCUGCUGCAAUGACAGGCUGAGGGACGGAGAUGGGGCUGCUCGAACUGAAAGUGCAAGAAAGAAACAGAAUAAAAACUGCAGAUGCUGCAGAUAUUUCUUUGCAAUAAUUCAAGAAAAAAUACACCAAAACUUUAUCCUUUUUUUUGAGUCAUUGUGCUUCCUCCAAUUGCUUUUAAACACUGAUGAAAACAUAGUAACUGCAGCAAUCUGCUAUGUUACUUUAUCUAGUACUUUUGCCUUCAGGGUACAUACAUGGAUCUAUUAGCAGCUGAAGGAAUCUAAUCUUUGAAAUAAAUCACCGUGCGUGUGUUUAUCUUUGGUAAUGGGAGAUGUAGAUACAGUUGUUCUAUAAUACCUAUGCCAAUAAUUUAAUAAAUCUUGUAUAUUGACAGUCAAAGUGUUUCAAAGCUAUUACUAUAAAUACUUCGCGUUAGUAUAUAGUCUCCUUUCCUGUAAUUCAGCAACAAGUUGC
ensembl:lncRNA